AGUCUUAUAUUCAUAAAAUGAUUACAAAAUGCAAUUUUGUAGGAGUAGUUAAAUACUACUAAGACUU
rnacentral:tRNA from 1 species